AACGCACAUUGCGCCCGCCAGUAUUCUGGCGGGCAUGCCUGUUCGAGCGUCAUUUCAACCCUCAAGCCCCAGUGGCUUGGUGUUGGGGACCGGCGACCUCGCCUGCACCUGGUGCAAGCGUCCGCCGCCCCCGAAAUGAAUUGGCGGCCUCGUCGCGGCCUCCUCUGCGUAGUAGCACAACCUCGCAACAGGAGCGCGACGCGGCCACUGCCGUAAAACGCCCAACUUUUUUAGAGUUGACCUCGGAUCAGGUAGGAAUACCCGCUGAACUUAA
rnacentral:misc_RNA from 1 species